GGUAGUCCACGCCGUAAACGAUGAUAACUCGAUGUUGGCGAUAGACAGCCAGCGUCCCAGCGAAAGCGUUAAGUUAUCCACCUGGGGAGUACGCCCGCAAGGGUGAAACUCAAAGGAAUUGACGGGGGCCCGCACAAGCGGAGGAGCAUGUGGUUUAAUUCGAUGAUACGCGAGGAACCUUACCCGGGCUUGAAAGUUAGUGAAGAGACCAGAGACGGUCUCGUCCUUCGGGACACGAAACUAGGUGCUGCAUGGCUGUCGUCAGCUCGUGCCGUGAGGUGUUGGGUUAAGUCCCGCAACGAGCGCAACCCCUAUGUUUAGUUGCCAGCAUGUAAUGAUGGGGACUCUAAACAGACUGCCUGUGCAAACAGUGAGGAAGGUGGGGACGACGUCAAGUCAUCAUGGCCCUUACGUCCGGGGCUACACACGUGCUACAAUGGAUGGUACAGCGGGCAGCUACAUAGCAAUAUGAUGCUAACCUCUAAAAGCCAUUCACAGUUCGGAUUGGGGUCUGCAACUCGACCCCAUGAAGUUGGAUUCGCUAGUAAUCGCGUAUCAGCAAUGACGCGGUGAAUACGUUCCCGGGCCUUGUACACACCGCCCGUCAAGCCAUGAAAGUUGGGGGUACCUAAAGCAUGUGACCGCAAGGAGCGUGUUAGGGUAAAACCGAUAAUUGGGGCUAAGUCGUAACAAGGUAACC
rnacentral:rRNA from 1 species